AUGCCUCAACUUGAUAAAUUAACUUAUUUCUCACAAUUCUUCUGGUUAUGUCUUCUCCUCUUUACUUUUUAUAUUCUCUUAUUUAAUAAUAAUAAUGGAAUACUUGGAAUUAGUAGAAUUCUCAAACUAUGGAACCAACUGCUUUCGCACCGGGGGGGCGAGAUCCGGAGCAAGGACCCUAAGAAUCUGGAAGAUAUCUCGAGAAAAGGUUUUAGCACCGGUCUCUCAUAUAUGUACUCCAGUUUAUCCGAAGUAUCCCAAUGGUGUAAGACCGUCGACUAUUUGGGAAAAAGGAGGAAAAUCACUCUGAUCUCUGAUUUCGGAGAAAUAAGUGGCUCAUGA
rnacentral:rRNA from 1 species